CAAUGGAAAAUAAUGCAUAAUCGAGAUUUAAAAAUUAAUAAAUUUCAAAGUUAAAUGUUUCAAUAAUGUUAAUCAUUCAAUCUAAAUUUUUUUCUGAUUUUUAUUUACAUCCUUUAUUAUCUAAAAUUGGUAUCUUGUAAUUUUAUUUUAACACAUUUUACAGUUUUGUUUUACAGUUUUACAUGUUAUGUUUAUUGUUUUGGUAUGGUAUACUAAUAUUUAUAGUCUUUGAUUUAUAACUUAUUAAUC